rnacentral:tmRNA from 1 species
GGGGGUGAUUAGGAUUCGACGGGGAUAGUUGAGACCAAAGCCGCAGGCCGAGCGACCCAGUGACUCGUUAAUCCAUAGGGACUAAACAUAAAAGCAGACUCUUACGAGUACGCACUGGCUGCAUAGCCAGCGUCCCUGGGGGCAUGUGGCCCGCAGAUUCUCAGGGGCGUAGCCAAAUGGGCUGGUCAUUUCAGGGGGCAACUUGACUGAGAUGAUGAGAAAUUCAAGAUGCUGGCUCCAAGGCCACCUGUCCGCUGGCAGCUGAGGAGUGAGAAUUAAUAACGGAACAAGCCUGUAGACACUUUGGGGGAAGAUCUUCGGACGCGGGUUCAAUUCCCGCCACCUCCACCA